AGGGUUCGAUUCUGGCUCAGGAUGAACGCUAGCUACAGGCUUAACACAUGCAAGUCGAGGGGCAGCAUUGGAGUAGCAAUACUUCAGAUGGCGACCGGCGCACGGGUGAGUAACACGUAUCCAACCUGCCGCUUACUCGGGGAUAGCCUUUCGAAAGAAAGAUUAAUACCCGAUGGUAUAAAGAGUUCGCAUGUUCUCUUUAUUAAAGAAUUUCGGUAAGCGAUGGGGAUGCGUUCCAUUAGAUAGUUGGCGGGGUAACGGCCCACCAAGUCUACGAUGGAUAGGGGUUCUGAGAGGAAGGUCCCCCACAUUGGAACUGAGACACGGUCCAAACUCCUACGGGAGGCAGCAGUGAGGAAUAUUGGUCAAUGGACGAGAGUCUGAACCAGCCAAGUAGCGUGAAGGAUGACUGCCCUAUGGGUUGUAAACUUCUUUUAUAUGGGAAUAAAGGAGCCUACGUGUAGGUUUUUGUAUGUACCAUACGAAUAAGGAUCGGCUAACUCCGUGCCAGCCGCAGC
rnacentral:rRNA from 1 species